rnacentral:misc_RNA from 1 species
CAUAGCAUCUUAUCAGUUUUAUUUUCAGAUGAAUCUCAAAAUUCAAGUUAUACGGAUGUUCCUGACUAAUUGCUUCAUUAAAGAUUCUACUCUUAAAAUAAAAUAUCAAUGAACAGUGGGCCAAGUUUAGAUAAAUUGAACUUGGAAAAUCCUAAAGAUUAUCAUAUAGAAGGAUUGUUAGAUACCAUUUGGGAUGGGAGAGGCAAAGUUGUGUCUGCUCAACACAUUCCAUCCAAGACAUCUUUUGCUAUUAAAAUAUUUGACCUUGAGAAGUGUUCUGAAGACCUGGACCUGAUACAGCAUGAAGCUAAAACAUUGCGUGAGUUGCGACACCCAAACAUCUGUGCCAUCAGCAUCAGCCUGAGCUUUGGCCAGGAGGCCUGGCUGCUGCUACCUCACUACCACUGCUCGGCCGCCUCCAUCCUCACCCACUUCCCUGUGGGCUUGCCAGAACUGGCCCUUGCUCUUAUUGCUCGCGAUGUGCUACUUGGUCUUCAGUACCUUCACUCCAGAUGCAUUAUACACAGGGCUGUGCAGUCUCGCCAUAUCCUCAUUGCUGACACAGGCCGCUGUGCGUUGAGUGGUCUACGGCACAGCAUCGAGCACCGCGUGGGCAGCAGUGAAGGAGAUACCCUGCAUGAGUACCCCAGAUACCCUGUGCCCUUACUCAACUGGGCCAGUCCUGAGAUGUUGCACCAGGACCUGCGCGGCUACAGCUACUCCAGCGACGUGUACUCGCUGGGUCUGACUGUUUGUGAGCUCGCCAACGCCGAGCAGCCCUACGAGGGCUACCAGCCCACACUCAUGAUGGUCGAAAAGCUCAAGGGUCGCGUGCCUUUCCUGGUGGAUGCCUCUAAACCUUUACCUGACGAGAGCGGCGAUGAAACAACCAGCGGUGGCAGCCACGGCAGCAGCGGCGGUCUCAAUAUGAACGCCGGCACCGACGACUUUGCCGACAAGAGGAACGCUUGGCGGGACCGCAUCUUCACGGCCUCAGCACACGAGUUCCUGAGGAAGACCCUGGCCCUGGAAGCCUUCAGGAGGCCGUCCGUGCCACAGCUUCUUGCGUCUGACGCCUUCAUUAAACAGGCCCGCAAGGCGGCAAACCCAUCAGUUCUGGACUACUUGCAGCACCACAAACGCUUGCCAUUCGUUACCGACAACCCAGCUGUCCGCGCUGCAGCUGCUGCUGACGAUCUCAGCGGACAGUUCUCCACCGUCGACAUCGACGACACAUCCUGGGAGUUUGAAGCGUCCUAGACAAGAUGUCUUCGAAAUGAUCCACUUGAUAACGAUGGAUGUUAUCCAAUCAAUGCCGCAUUGCAACGCAUUGCUGAACUCGGAACUGAUGUAAUGCAUCUUCAGAAUCGUUAAAUAGGUAGGGCAAUGAAGUUCGGACAUAUGAAAUUUUUCUGAAAAUGGUGAUGCUAAUACAUACUAUUUAAAAUCUGAAAGAAAAAGGAUUUUGUGAUAACGGUUUUUGAUAUUAGGGACGACAGCUCUAACAAUAAAGGGUUUAGGCACGAUAUAAUUCUCAGAUUUCAUGGAUUGUCCUUCACUGACAACGUAGUUGUAAUGAUACGUCGCGAUAAAUGAAUAGGGGGUAAUAUCUACGGGAAAUUUGAGUAAAUGUCAAACCGGGUUCGACAAAUAUCCUUUAACCAGGAGUUUCGAGUACAAUGAGCAAUUUGCAACUGAUCGUAUCUUAUAUCUGU